GUGCACGCUGGCGGUAGGCCUAACCCCUGCAAGUCGAACGGCAGCACCGUAAGAGCUUGCUCUUACGGGUGGCGAGUGGCGGACGGGUGAGGAAUACAUCGGAAUCUACUUUUUCGUGGGGGAUAACGUAGGGAAACUUACGCUAAUACCGCAUACGACCUACGGGUGAAAGCAGGGGAUCUUCGGACCUUGCGCGAUUGAAUGAGCCGAUGUCGGAUUAGCUAGUUGGCGGGGUAAAGGCCCACCAAGGCGACGAUCCGUAGCUGGUCUGAGAGGAUGAUCAGCCACACUGGAACUGAGACACGGUCCAGACUCCUACGGGAGGCAGCAGUGGGGAAUAUAGGACAAUGGGCGCAAGCCUGAUCCAGCCAUACCGCGUGGGUGAAGAAGGCCUUCGGGUUGUAAAGCCCUUUUGUUGGGAAAGAAAAGCAGCAGGUUAAUACCCCGCUGUUCUGACGGUACCCAAAGAAUAAGCACCGGCUAACUUCGU
rnacentral:rRNA from 1 species